rnacentral:lncRNA from 1 species
GCCUUACCACGCAUCAAACUUGUGGAUGAGCCAUGGCUGAAGCCAGAGGCCCGCACUUUUUAAUGCCUUAGCAGCAGCUUGCUGGCCCCCAGAGCAGCCUCCAAAGAUGCAGGCUGUGAAUGGAGCCUUCACAAGGCCUCUCUCAAGAAGAGAACUCACAGUAUGGUGGAACCACAUGUUCUUUCUAAGGAAGAAUUUUUUGUUUUCAUUUCAAACAACUCUGGUUGGUGACGAGUGGCCAGAAGAGGUGCUCUGUUUUCCAUCCUAACACCUAUUCGCAGGUGGGGGCAGGGAGGACUCCAACCUGAAAUGUUAUUUCAAACCCUUCCCUGGUCCUACACCUCCAUUUCCAGGCCGGGUCACAUAGCAAAGGACGAUCCACAGUGCGUCCCAUUGCUUUGUAGUUUGAGCACCUUUCAAAGCAGGAAGAUGAGUCUGUUUUAGCUCUUUCCCUUCUGAUCUCAUACAUGAAAUAUCACUGUCUGAUGUGGUGCUUAAGUAAAUAGCUUCGCUGGGCACUGGUGGUCAUACCCCUGAAAGGCCAGCUUGCCAGGGACAGCAAGCUCAGGCCACUCCUCCCUGCCCUCCACAGACAGAGGUGAAACUGGUAUUUUUCAAAUGUUCCCUGCCUACCUUCUGCCAUC